rnacentral:lncRNA from 1 species
UGGGGCUUAGUGGCUCAAGGUCUCUUCCUGAUGCCUUCGGAUCUGGAUAUAGAAUGCUCUCCUCCUCUCAAGCACCAGGUCUGCCUACACACGGCUGUGCUUCCCACCAUGAUGAUAAUGAACUAAACCCCUGAAACUAAGCCAGCCCAGAGUAUGUUUUCCAUCAUGAGAGCUGCCAUGGUCAUGGGGUCUCUUCACAGCAAGAGAACCCCUGACUCAGACAGG